UACAGGGGGUGCAAACGUUGCUCGGAAUCAUUGGGCGUAAAGCGCACGUAGGCGGUUCGUUAUGUCGGAUGUGAAAGCCCUUGGCUUAACCGAGGAAGUGCAUCCGAAACUGGCGAGCUAGAGUACGAAAGAGGAUCGCGGAAUUCCCGGUGUAGAGGUGAAAUUCGUAGAUAUCGGGAGGAACACCGGUGGCGAAGGCGGCGAUCUGGGUCGAUACUGACGCUGAGGUGCGAAAAGCGUGGGGAGCAAACAGGG
rnacentral:rRNA from 1 species